rnacentral:lncRNA from 1 species
AGCGGUAACUUGCACCUUGAGGGCCGGUCAACACCGAGCUAGUCUGGUCAAUGCCCAAGGAGUGGUCAAAACUUGCAGAAAUUGAUCAAAACACCAACGUAUGGGCCGAUCAACAUUCGGUCAACGCCAGUCAAGGCUGGUCAACGCCCAACUCAAAAAAGUCAACGCUGGCAAACCAAAAAAAAUAAUAAUAAUAAUUAUGUGUCAAAUUGCUCUGGACACCCAGAGAUUUGCUCUGGACACCCUUUGGCAUUCUUCAGUCAUCAGCGCCCCGCUGAACUGUAUACCGCUACCUCCUGCGGCGAUCACAGCUCGCUGCCACCUUCACGACACUCCGCCGGCACCGAGCCUCCGCUAAACACCACUAGCGGAACCGACAGCAACAGCUCUCAAGACCCACUAGCGCUCAGCGACCAACCGAGCAUCUUCCGCCGGCGAGCCCUUUCGCCAGCUCUUCAGCGCGACUGUGCCGCUGCCCAUCAUCACCGCCGGCUAUCCUCUUUUGGAGCUUGGGAGUACCUCCGACAGCGGCAGCACCGACAUCUUCCGCCCAACAUCAUCAGCGGCAAAACAGCACCGCUAGCUCCAGAGGCUCACGGCCUUGACGGAGCAUCAGUAAACUCCGCUGGUGUCCCAGGCCUCCGCCGGAAAGUUCCGCUGAACAAUUCCUCCGCCGAGCUAUGUCGGCGGCAGCGCGGUAAAUUCCUCCGUCAAUACUAAGCACCAGGCACUCUCCGCCCAAGAAGGGUUCCGCUGACCUCAUGACCUCCGCUAGCAGGACUACACUCGCAAGUCGACUUCCGCUAGUCAUCACUUCCGCCAACCAAGACCACAGCUGACAAAACCCAGCUCCGCUGAACUCCACCACGAGUUGGGCCAUCCAAACCCCGCUAGCCAACACCAGCGUCAAUACCUCCGCUAGACACCUCAAGCAAGCUUCUCCGCUGCACUCCAGCUCCGCUGAACUCGUAGCCUCUGCCGAGCUCCAAGCCCGCCCAUCAGCGUCGAACUCCUCCGCCAGACUGCACCACCGAGCAGCCUCCGCUGAACUUCACCACCGGAGAGGCUCCGCCGAACUGUACACCGCUGACCUGAGCUUCUACUAACCCGCGCUUCUGCCACUAGCCAACCUCAGCGGCCCCACCGGCGGAACCGCUAGCCUCAAACCAGAGGAACCGGCCUCCUCCCCCAGCUGUCAGGCUAUCCUUCUCCGCUGACCGCUAGCCAUCCUCUGCCGGAAAACCACCCGCUGGCCACAACUCACCCAAGACUAACGCUCCACUUGCUCAUUACCGCCAAGCACCAUCCGCUAACAAUCUUGACGCACCGCCGGUGUAGUCAUCUCAGAAAACCGCCAGAAGUUCUUGGCCACACACCAACAUCUUCUCUUCACACCCAGAAAUUCUACCGGCACACCCAAAACUCUUGGACACUGAGCUUGACUGUGCAGCGUUCACCAUGUCUUCUCUCUGCGCACGAGCACAAUGCCCGCCGUCACCGGCAUCGUUCAUCUCUGGCCUUUCACGAAAACUUCAACAGAAGCCAUCAAUUGCCAGUAAUCAGCCAUGCAUCGGCGUCAUCCGUGAUGACUGGGUUGGGCUCAUC